rnacentral:misc_RNA from 1 species
UCCCGGUUAACCCGGGCAGUCUCGUUAGAGUUCCCACCUUAAAUGCUGGCAACUAACGACAAGGGUUGCGCUCGUUGCGGGACUUAACCCAACACCUCACGGCACGAGCUGACGACAGCCAUGCAGCACCUGUGCACCGGUCCCGAAGGAAGGGUCCAUUUCUGGACCUGUCCGGUGCAUGUCAAGUCUGGGUAAGGUUCUUCGCGUUGCAUCGAAUUAAACCACAUGCUCCACUGCUUGUGCGGGUCCCCGUCAAUUCUUUUGAGUUUCACCCUUGCGAGCGUACUCCCCAGGCGGUAUACUUAACACGUUAGCUACGGCACAGCCGGGGUUGAGACCGGCUACACCAAGUAUACAUCGUUUACGGCUAGGACUAC